rnacentral:rRNA from 1 species
UACGGGGGGAGCAAGCGUUGUUCGGAUUUACUGGGCGUAAAGGGCGCGUAGGCGGCCACCGCAAGUCGACUGUGAAAUCUCCGGGCUUAACCCGGAAAGGUCAGCCGAUACUGCGGGGCUAGAGUGCAGAAGGGGCAACUGGAAUUCUCGGUGUAGCGGUGAAAUGCGUAGAUAUCGAGAGGAACACCUGCGGCGAAGGCGGGUUGCUGGGCUGACACUGACGCUGAGGCGUGAAAGCUAGGGGAGCGAACGGGAUUAGAAACCCCCGUAGUCC